AACGAACGCUGGCGGCAUGCCUAACACAUGCAAGUCGAACGAGACCUUCGGGUCUAGUGGCGCACGGGUGCGUAACGCGUGGGAACCUGCCCUUAGGUUCGGAAUAACUCCCCGAAAGGGGUGCUAGUACCGGAUAAUGUCUUCGGACCAAAGAUUUAUCGCCUUUGGAUGGGCCCGCGUUGGAUUAGCUAGUUGGUAGGGUAAAAGCCUACCAAGGCGACGAUCCAUAGCUGGUCUGAGAGGAUGAUCAGCCACACUGGGACUGAGACACGGCCCAGACUCCUACGGGAGGCAGCAGUGGGGAAUAUUGGACAAUGGGCGAAAGCCUGAUCCAGCAAUGCCGCGUGAGUGAUGAAGGCCUUAGGGUUGUAAAGCUCUUUUACCCGGGAUGAUAAUGACAGUACCGGGAGAAUAAGCUCCGGCUAACUCCG
rnacentral:rRNA from 1 species